rnacentral:rRNA from 1 species
CCUACGGGCGGCAGCAGUGGGGAAUAUUGCACAAUGGGGGAAACCCUGAUGCAGCGACGCCGCGUGAGCGAUGAAGUAUUUCGGUAUGUAAAGCUCUAUCAGCAGGGAAGAAAAUGACGGUACCUGACUAAGAAGCCCCGGCGAACUACGUGCAAGCAGCCGCGGUAAUACGUAGGGGGCAAGCGUUAUCCGGAUUUACUGGGUGUAAAGGGAGCGUAGACGGCUGUGCAAGCCAGAUGUGAAAGCCUGGGGCUCAAUCCCGGGACUGCAUUUGGAACUGUGUGGCUGGAGUGUCGGAGAGGCAGGCGGAAUUCGUAGUGGAGCGGUGAAAUGCGUAGAUAUUAGGAGGAACACCGGUGGCGAAGGCGGCCUGCUGGACGAUGACUGACGUUGAGGCUCGAAAGCGUGGGGAGCAAACAGGAUUAGAUACCCGUGUAGUC